rnacentral:rRNA from 1 species
UACGUAGGGUGCAAGCGUUGUCCGGAAUUAUUGGGCGUAAAGAGCUCGUAGGCGGUCUGUCACGUCGGCUGUGAAAUCCCGAGGCUCAACCUCGGGUCUGCAGUCGAUACGGGCAAACUAGAGUAUUGCAGGGGAGACUGGAAUUCCUGGUGUAGCGGUGAAAUGCGCAGAUAUCAGGAGGAACACCGAUGGCGAAGGCAGGUCUCUGGGCCAUACUGACACUGAGAAGCGAAAGCAUGGGGAGCGAACAGG